AGUGAACGCUGGCGGUAGGCCUAACACAUGCAAGUCGAACGGCAGCACAGUAAGAGCUUGCUCUUACGGGUGGCGAGUGGCGGACGGGUGAGGAAUACAUCGGAAUCUACUUUUUUGUGGGGGAUAACGUAGGGAAACUUACGCUAAUACCGCAUACGACCUACGGGUGAAAGCAGGGGAUCUUCGGACCUUGCGCGAUUGAAUGAGCCGAUGUCGGAUUAGCUAGUUGGCGGGGUAAAGGCCCACCAAGGCGACGAUCCGUAGCUGGUCUGAGAGGAUGAUCAGCCACACUGGAACUGAGACACGGUCCAGACUCCUACGGGAGGCAGCAGUGGGGAAUAUUGGACAAUGGGCACAAGCCUGAUCCAGCCAUACCGCGUGGGUGAAGAAGGCCUUCGGGUUGUAAAGCCCUUUUGUUGGGAAAGAAAAGCAGCAGGUUAAUACCCCGCUGUUCUGACGGUACCCAAAGAAUAAGCACCGGCUAACUUCGUG
rnacentral:rRNA from 1 species